rnacentral:lncRNA from 1 species
GGCGACGCAGGCAGGGCAGGCUCUGCCGCAGCGACUCAUCCCAUCGCUAAGGUCCAGUUAGCCAAGGUGGAGGAUGGGAAAAGAAUGGAGCUGUCCCAGCUCCUCAAUGAGAUCAGGGCAAACUAUGAGCAGCUCCUCACCAGAAAUCAGAUAGACACGGUGCUGUCAACACGGAUCCAGGUAAUGAUUUCAUUCAACCAGGCACCUUCAGGAUAAGGAGACAGUCCCUGUCUACCCGAUUCCUGUCCCGGCCUCUCUGAGGUACAGUAUCUCCUUUUCCACGCAGCAUCUACUGGGGAGGCAAUGUAGGUGUUUCUGCACCGGGUCUGGGGUGACAGGCAGGGAGAAAAACCCUUUGGCUGUGCUGUUGGACGACCAUUCAAUAAAUAUCGAUUGAUGCAUUGGAAUUUGAUAGAGAUCGUAAGGUGACCGUCAUUACUAAAACAUGGAGUCAAUAAGCAAUAAAACGGCGCUCUCUGACCUCUUUAGAUUUUUUUUUUUCAGGAAGGGAGCAUUCCGAACAACUCCUCAAAGAUAUUACGGAGUUAAUUAUAGAGGCGAUUUAAAUAACAUCUGUAGAAUCGAAGCUUGAUAGUCAAGAUUGUUUGCCUUGCACACUCUGGGAGGAGAUAAAAGGGAGAAAAAAAUAUUUCUAGAAGGUUUCUAUCAUCUUUUUCCAAGCAUUCGGUUUUACACUGAUGGUUAUAAAUAGAACCAUCGGGGGCACGUGAAGAUGGCUUUCAGAACCAAGGAUACAAAUUCUGACAACCAAAAAUCCCCCAGCUGAGUAGUGAGUGAUUCUGCCCUUAAAAGUACCCACUUUAGCUUUGGAGCUAUGAGAACUGUUUACUUCCGACACAAAGCUUGCAAGAUAUUUAAAAUAAAUAAUAAACGAAAGAGAGCCAACUCAGAGCAGGGAUCCAUUCAAAUUCCAUAGGCUCAGUUUUAAAUGCCUUUUAAUAAUUAAGGUCUCGAAUCUAAAUAAGUUUAAAAGCAAAUAUUUGGGAAACAAAGUUUCAAAAAUUUAGGACUUUUCUUUAUUAGUUUAUCUCUUAUACUCAAGUUCAAAUUGUAUUCCCGGCACCUAGACAGAGCAAAGAGUUAGCUUAAGGAUGGGUUCAAAAAAAAAAAAAAAAA